rnacentral:lncRNA from 1 species
GUUGAAGCGCAUGCCACCAGAGGUUGGACAUCUCACUUCCCUGCAAACACUUACAGAUUUUGUAGUGGGUACAGGCCCUGAUUGCAGUAGUAUUGCAGAGCUGCAGCAUUUAAACAACCUUGGUGGUCCACUACUGCUUAGUCAACUCGAAAAUGUGACAAAAGCAGCAGAUGCAAAACAGGCCAGUCUUGGAAAUAAAAAGGAGAUCAGGGAAUUGUCAUUAAGCUGGACAGGUAGUGAGGAGGAGAAACAACAUUGUCAUAAGGUGCUGGAGGGUCUCGAAGCUCCUCCUGGACUAGAGGCUCUGAGGAUACAGCAUUACCAAGGAACCAGUUUCCCAACAUGGAUGGGUACGCUGCCAAAAAUGGUGGAGCUUCGUCUUUUUGACUGUAACAAGUCCAAUAAGCUUCCUCCACUUGGGAGUGUAGCAGCUCUACAAGUUCUUCAUUUGAAAAGAUUGAAAAAACUGGAAAGCUUGUGCAGUGGUGGUACAUUCUUUCACUUUCCUAAUCUGAAGGAGCUUACGCUGGAAGACCUGCCGGAAUUUGAUAGAUGGUGUGAAGUAAACUGGGUCCAAGGAGAACAGAUAAUGUUUCCUCAACUUGAGAAAUUGUUUAUUACAAAUUGUGGAAAGGUUACAGCAUUACCAGGGCCAGCACUUCUCGGAGGAUCGUGCUGUGGAGAUUCCAAGGAGCAAGACGAGAGGAAGCUUUGGUCGGCAUUUCCAGUCCUGAAGGUACUCAAAUUACAAUGCUUAGCAAAGUUUCAGAGGUGGGGGGGCGCUGCUGAAGCAACUCAAGGGCAGCAGAUAAUAUUUCCUCAGCUUGAAAAGUUAUCAAUCAAAAAGUGCCCCGAACUGGCAGCAUUACCAUCAGCUACAUCUCAGGGAGUAUCAUUUGACCAUAGUGAUGUUACAGCAUGGUCAGCAUUUCCAAACUUAAAGAAGCUCUUGUUAGAAGACUUAGAAAGUUUUAAGAGCUUGGGGAUGACGGAAGCAACUCAUGGUGAACAGCAGAGAUUCUCUGACCUUGAGACUCUGGGUGUUAAGAAAUGUCCGAAGUUGACAAUUCAACCGGGGGUGAUAGAAGCACCAAAGCUCGGUGUAUUAGAAAUAAAUGGCAGCCAACUGACAGCAAUAAUAGUGCCUACAGUUAUUAACUCAUUGUCCGAACUGGUGUUAUCAGUCGAAGACACAGAAACUACUUUACCAACUGUGCAUGGUGCCUUUGAGCUGGUGGACGCCAGUAAUAAAUACCCUCUGACACAUCUGGAGCUAAGCGGCUGCAACUUUCUGUUCCCCUCAAGUCCACUGGCACUAUGGGCAUGUUUUGUCCAGCUGCAAGAUUUGAAAAUUGAGAAGAUCAACCAUGCGCUUGUCUACUGGCCAGAAAAAGAGUUCCAGAGCUUGGUAUCCUUGCGGCACCUUACCAUUUGGAAGUGCAGUGGUCUGAUUGGGUACGUGAAAGCCGCUCCUAGCCAACCAAUAUCAGAAAGGAGCCAAGUUCUCCCCCGUCUCGAGUCUCUACGCAUACGGGAUUGUGAAAGUCUGGUAGAGGUCUUCAACGUCCCCGCAUCUCUCAAGACGAUGGAUUUGCACGACUGCCCUAAGCUUAAGUCCAUAUUCGGAGAGCUACAGGACGAGCCAACAUUCAAUCAAGGGCCCAGCGCUGCACCGAAGCUGUCAUCAUCGGCCUGGGAUCACUUACUUCCAUGUCUUGAAUCUCUAAAUAUACGGCAGUGCGAAAGCUUGUCAGAGGUUCUCAACCUUCCCCCAUCCCUCAGGGAAAUAGAUAUUUGGGAAUGCCCAGAGUUGAGAUCAGUCGAAUGUUGCUUGGGAGAGUUUGCAACCCUGGAACGCCUCGUUCUUAGUGAAUGCAAAAGCCUGGCAUCCUUGCCCGAUGGGCCACAAGCAUACUCAUCUCUCCGUCAUCUUCAAAUUACAUCAUGUCCAGGUAUACAAUCGCUUCCUUCAUCCCUGAAGAAGAGACUGGACAACCUCAUUGAUAAAUAUUUGGAUGCUCGUUACGAAGGUACCCAUCAAACUCAUUUGUCGUUUCACCAUCAAAUGCAUAAAUCUGCUCAUGUGUAUUUUCCUCUUCAACCUGAGACCCCGCAUUCUAUAAAUAUAUAUAUACCAGUCGCCUUAAAGCAUCCAUGCAGUAGUUUGGAUGAUAUGGUGUGAUUAUUUUUACAUUAGAGAAAGGUAUUUGCGUCUAUAGACUAUAGCUAGGUGUGAACUGUGCCCAGAAAUUAUUGACAAGGAAUAGUGGAAAGAACUCAGCAAUCACUAAAAAAACAUGAAGAGUGUCCCACAAAGUUACUUUUUCAUGCAGUUGUCAUGGUGGCUUGCUGGUUUCAGCACUUGCACAAUACGAAAUUUAAAAAAUCCAAGUGAUCCCUCCACACUUGGACAAUUAAGAACACGACUAUAGAUUGUUUUCAAUUUGCAUUGAACUGAUAUUUUUCUAUUUCCCUAAUGUUACACAUCAAAUAGAGAUGCCAAGUUGCCAAUGCAACGAAGGUUUUUACUUGUCAAUUUAAUUGAAUUUUGCUGUCUAAAGGACAAAAUGUGGAUUAAAUAAAGAGCUCUUUUACGGUGCACAAUACUACCACGUGGUAGUAUAGAUUAUAAGUACUUUUUUAGCAUGGGCAAAAUUGUAAUUAGCACGCAUAUAUUAUUUGGAGAUUUUUUUCCGCGAGCCCUUCUCCCCACGCGCCGCCAGUCCCCCACGUCCGCGCCUGGGCGCACCCGCGCCCCCGGAACCCUCGGCGGCCGAUGCUGACACUGACGACUUCCUGCCGGCUGAGGCUGCGCGUGGCGGUGACGUGCUGUUUGAGCUUCACUCCCACUCAAACCACAGUGACGGCUUCCUCUCCCCCACCGCGCUCGUCGAGCGCGCCCACCGCAAUGGGGUAAGUGGAUGAAUCCUAAAUGGCCUCUAGUCCGUUUGCCUGCUAGGUGUUUGAGGAAAUGCUUGUGACGUUUGUUCGGCGGCGUUGUACUGUGCUUUGUGGAAUUCGACUUCGAUGGCCUCAUCGUCUUUAGCUGUGGUGCUUAACCGAGCAUUGCGUUUGUUGUACCUGCCAGUGUGCCGUGUGCGUAGCUGUUCCCCGUCUUAUAGGACUGUUCCCCGUCUUAGUAUCUGGAUGAAAGUGCUGUACUGGUGACUACAGUAUCUAACAGGGAAGCAGUUUCCUUGGAUGUUUCAACUCCCCUCUGAUGAUCGGUUUGUUUAAAUUUGAAUGAAGCUGUCAUCUUCUGGCACGCAUUGGUUAGUUCAGACGGUGUAUUGCUUAGCUAAUUGCUGCUGAAAAAAAUGAUUGAGAUGCACUAGUGCCUGUUUCCCCUUGAAAUGUUUUAUGGAUUAUAUACCAUAACCUACCUCCUAAAGUUUCGGUAUGGUUGUGUGCUGUUUAAAAGUUAUAUAUUGAUGGGCACAUAUUACAAAUCUUGGAGUGUCUAAACUAUAUAUGUUUGUGGCGUAGGUGAAAGUUCUUUCCCUAACAGAUCACGACACUAUGGCUGGCAUACCAGAAGCUGUUUCAGCAGCUUCCAAGUUCGGCAUUAGAAUAAUUCCUGGAGUUGAAAUCAGUGCGCUGUAUAAUCCAAGGUAAGUGCCCUUUAGCUUUUAGAGAAGAGAGCUUUCUGUGUUUUGAAUAAAAAUCAUCAAUUGCAUGCAGCUUAAUGAAUCAAGCAUCCUAUUGUUGCGGACUCUCAUAAAUAGAUCUGCAAUAUUGUUUUAAUGCUCCAUUGCCUGUCUAAUAAAAUGAUACUGUAAACAACAUUUAAGCAGUUGUAUUAUGACUAGGGAUAUUUCAUAUGAUGAUUCAUUAUAUUAUGAAUUUCAUUUUCUAUAAGGGAAGGUGCCGGUGCUGGUGAGCCUGUUCAUAUCCUUGCAUACUAUGGUACAUGCGGUCCAUCAAGAUAUGAUGAGUUGUACAGCAUGCUAUUGAACAUCAGAGAUGGGAGAUACUUACGUGCAAAGAAUAUGCUGGCAAAGCUAAAUAGACUCAAGGUGACGAUAAAGUGGGAGCAUAUAACUAAAAUUGCUGGUGAGGGAGUGGCAACUGGUCGAUUGCAUGUAGCAAGAUCUUUGUGUUAAUAAUAGGGCCUGUGUUUUUUGCAGAGGAAGUGAACCAUUUGCUGAGACUGUUGUGCAGUCAAUUAGUCGUACUGGGGGUAUAUCUGCACUCGCUCAUCCUUGGACCUUGGUCAUUGAAGAACCCUGAUGCAGUAAUCAGGUCUUUAGGUGCUGGCCUUAAUGGUAUGGAGGUCUACAGAAGUGAUGGAAAGGUUGAUGGUAUGUGUGCUACACACUUACACUUUAUGCACUAUGACUUGAAAUAGAACAGAGGACUCCGGUAGUCCUGUCAUGCGCUAAAAUCUUCCCAGAAGAGUGCGGUGUUCCCAUCGCCCAACUGUACCCGGAUGGAAAUUUGGAAGAUUUUACGAAGGGUAUGGUCGUUGUCCACCGUAUUGGCUAGGUGCUUCCAUGGUCGUUGUUCGUCAGUCCUCUUGAACCACAACCAGCGCAAUCGGAGGGCCAGCGAUGCAAUUUUGAGGUUCUGAAUUCCUAGACCACCAAAGAGUUUAGGGCGGCAUGCAAGUGGCCAGGCCACUGCACAUUGCCCUCCAUUGGCUGCCUGCUUACCUGCCCACAGAAAACCCUUUCUAAGUUUGUCGAUUUCAUGAAAUACCCAGGCCGGUAUAUCAAGGGAGAUUAGGUUGUAGGUGCAGGUCGCGGUCAGAACUGAUUGAACCACUGUUAGUCUCCCCGCCUUGUUCAUGAGUUGAGCUUUCCAACUCGGGAUUUUGCUGGCCACCUUGUCGAUCAAGGGUUGGAAGUGGGAUUUCCUCAGUCUUCGAACCGAUAGGGGCAUGCCAAGGUACUGUAUUGGGAACUCUACCACUUGGGCAGGGAAGAUGCUACUAAUUCUCGCGAUUUGCUGAUCAUUGCAAGCAAUUGGGGCGAUGGAGCACUUCUGUAAGUUGGUGUGCAACCCAGAUGCGUUACCAAAGAAGUCGAGAAUCCCCUUGAGGGCAAUCAAAUCCUGGGCCACCGGCUUAGCAAAAAUGAUCACGUCGUCAGCAUACAAAGAGCAUUGGUGACAUAUGGCACUAUCAGCCGGGUGGGAGAGGACUCCCAGUUCCGUAGCCCUCUGAGAAGCCGGUGCAUCACUUCCAUAAUGAGGAUAAAAAGCAUUGGCGAUAGUGGAUCGCCCUGCCGCAGCCCUCUUGCGUUGCGUAUUGACCGACCUGGGGAGCCAUUUAGCAGCACUCUGGUGGUGGCAGUGGAAAUGAGCACGGAGAUCCAAUCCCUCCACUUAAUCCCAAAGCCUCUCGCUUGUAGAACUUGCAGUAGAAAAGGCCAACAGACGGUGUCAAAGGUCUUUGAGAUGUCAAGCUUGAUUAGGAGGCUGGGCUUGUGUUUCCGGUGUAGGGUUUUCGCAGCUAGCUCCACAAACUUAAAAUUAUCAUGGAUUGACCGUCGCUUCACGAACGUGCUCUGGUUAAUGUCCACAAGGUUGUGCAGCUCCUGAACAAGCCAGUUGGCAAGCAGCUUUGCAACUAGCUUCGCGAAGCUGUGCACAAGGCUGAUGGGUCUGAAAUCAGUCGGGGACACAGCGUCUUGCCGUUUCGGUAGCAGAGUGAUUAGGGAGCAAUUCAGGCGGCCAAAUUGGCGCAUGCACCGUGGUAGAGCGCGUCAAAACAUGCAAGAACAUCUCUUUUGAUCACCGGCCAGGUUGCUUUGUAGAAUUGCUCAACUUGUAGAUGAGGUCCUGCAAGUACCCUGUGGUUUGUAGUCAAACUACAGCAUUACUGCUAUUGCAAAGAUUAGGAGAUUUUAUCUCUCUUUUUCUAGGAAUUUUUUUUAAAUAAACUGCAUGAGAAGAAGUGCAAGUAAAUUCACGGAAAAUGUAAAUUCACUGACUGACCGACCAGUCUCGGUGCCUGAGGCGCUGAUGAUCCCUUGCUUCUCCAGGCGCUUCUUCCUGUCCUCCUUGAUGCGCUCCAGCAGCUCGAUGUCGUCGUCCUCCUCGAGCACAAGGGCCCGCGCGGGGCGGUCGGCAGCGAACGGGGAGAACGACGCCGCCAGGGCGGCGAGCACGCAUGACGCCAGGCCGCUCUGUCGGCCGACGACGGCGGCGGCCUCACGCCGGUCCUGGCCUCCGUUGCUGCUGACGCCUCUGAACUUGGCCCAGCAUGCUGCCGCUGGGGGAUGGUGCUGCGCUGGCAGCUCCUGCACCGCAGCCGCCGCCGCCCGUUGCAACCCUAGCGACUGAUUGUAAAUGAAGAACCAUAGCGACCAAUUGGAAAUGAGAAGAUGAAUAAAAGGAAAGGAGAUGAUAAUGAAGAAAGAUUUGAUAUAUUGUAACAAUGCUAAUUUUCAUCUUUCCAAUCAUACCCAUAUACUACCCAUACUACUCAUGCAUAUUAUUACCUAUACUUCAACUUAAAAUUCUAGUAGUAUACAAUUAAUUUGAACUGUCGGAUCCUUACAUACGAGUCCUUUUCAACAAUAGUAUAGGGUAGUAUUAUACACCACAAAAGAGCUCUAAAUAAAAGGUCCCAGGAGCCUACUGUGUGGUACCUUUCUUUUAAUGGUUUUUUUGCUAACUUCACGCCUUUGGAUGCACAAAAAUGUACUAUUUCUGUUUUUGUUUCAGAAAGAACUGGAGUUUUUCUCUUUCCAAUUCGGUAGUUGUAUAUUUUAAUAUGCAUACUCAAAUCUGCUUGACGUACACGUUUUUCAUGUUAUACUCUAGAUUUCUAUUGAUAAAUCCUAACAUCAGCGAUUACCAAGUGCCAAGUUAUUGAAACCAAAGACAUGGAAAUAUGCCAUUCAUUUGUAGAAAUCAGUGAGCUGUCAAAACAUUAAGUAAGGUUAGUAGCAUAAAAAGUUUGGGUUUUUAUUAGAAUCAUUUCAAUUAAUCUAGUAUUGAUUCCAUAUCCUGUCUAUUGUAGGGACAUGUUUGCUUCAUUUACUGUCAGCAUCCAAACCAUAAUAUGGAAAUGCUAUUUUCCUUCUAUGUUGACCAAGGUCUGAGUUACCAUACAGGCUCUGAUGCAAGUUGUUAAAGGCAGUAUAAAUUCUGUACCAGACAUUUAUUUAUAUUUGAUAAUCAUGAGAGAUAUAUUACUAUUUUAUUUUUGCAUCAAAUGGAUGUGGAGGCUGGGAUAUUAAUACUUUCUCCCAUUAAUACAGCUACAUCAUGGCAGUUAUCUCCCUGUGAUUGGAAGAGAGUUCUGCAUUUUGCAUAUCAACUGCAACUAUAUGAUGUUUAUAACUGAGCCUGGAGAGAUAUUAUGCCAUUUCUGUGACCAUUCUCUUCUAUUAUGUCCAUUUCACAUAUUCAAAACAAAAUUUUCCCUUAAUUGACUAUUGUAUUGAAUUGAUAUUUUCCUUUUUUUAGAUAAUACUGAUAUUUUUAACUUGCUUUACUUUCCCUUAACAUGAUUGGAAGUUUAAGACCAUGCCUAAAUUUCAAAUGUGCCUUCCUUUUAGUGCAUUACUUCUUUGGUGACCAAUUAAUGUUUUGACUAGCUGCUACUGAUCAAUUAUUCAUACCUGCCAAAGGACCAAUAACUUCGUGGUGCAGCCAAUUAAAUUGUUACUGAUUUCAUGCUAUCAACAUGGAAAAAGAUACAGUUUGACACCCAGCCACAAUCAAACAAUAACUUAGUAGUUUGAAAUGGUUAUCGCAAUUUGCGAUGCUUUGUGCAGAGAAGAUGACUCUUUGAGGUUAAAGAAGAUUCUACAAAUACCCAGCAAGCUUCAGGAAUGAAUUAUUUCAAGCUGGUGGCAUAAUAGUGCACACGGCGGAUGCAGCAACAGAGGACAACUCUGCUCCCCGGCCCCAGGCGCGCCGCCGAAAUGCCUCGGCACCGCCGCCUCCGACACGGCAAGGGCAGCGGGCGCCACAAGCUGAUGAACCUGCACAGGCAAAAGCCAGAACUGAGGCGUUUGGCUUUGCCGAGAUGGCCACACCCAUGUCUGAACGGGCAAAGGCCCGCCCUCCGGCGGAGCCCGUAGAGCAGGGCGGCCCCGACGACCAAGACGGCCAGACCGCAGGAGGGAGGGCUCGCGGCGUGUUCUCGCCGCAGGACAUCCAGGCGGACGGAGGAGGAUCUUGCGAUGUGUCGGCGACGGGCGCUGAGGAGCAGGCGGGGUCUCAUGGCGCUGUGGGCAACGGGAGGCCGAGGAAGCUGGAAGGAGGGGACAGGGAGAAUGAUGCUGAAGCUGGUGUGGUGCGAGCUGACGAACAAGCGCGGAUUCUGGACCAUGUCUUCUCCAAAGGACGUCAACACCAGGUACAACAGCAACCUCACCUUUGUUCUUCCUCUUCCUGUAAAGGGUCGUGCACACAAGGUGUUCGGUCUUUUGUCGUUGCAAGUUUUGCAAAGGAAAAAGGGGACAGGGGCAUAUCUACUAAUCAAAGUAGACGGCGUUUAACGCUAGCACCACGAUUAGCACCCGCAGAGCAACUUUGCAGCACGAAGAAGGUACAGUCAGUAUUGACCAGGGAAAAUUUUGAAGAUUCAGAAGUUCUAAGGGAAAGAGGAGGAAUGGAAAAGGAGGAACAGAGUGAGAGAGAGAAGAAGCAAUUCAAAAAAUCGCAGGAUCCUUUGCAAGGUCUCCGAAGGAACGAGACUGGCUCUCGAUUCUGGGCCUUAGCAAAUGAGGACAGUUCUGACGAGGAGGAGGAAAGGGAGGAAGAAAGUGAUAAGAUGAAAAUGGAAAGUAUAGUGGCUGAGGAGAGAAGCUGUUCUUCCCUAGAGGAAAGAACAGAACUCUCUAGCAGUGGAUCUAGAGAAAAGGGAAUAAAAUUAGUUAAGAAGCAGGAAAGCAAAGAUAGAACAAAGGGCAAAGACAAAAAACCUGGACAUAUGAUCAAACCAUGGAAAGGCCCUUUACCUCAGAGAAAUUACCCUUUGAAAAUGUCACUAGGUGACAUCAGGGUAAAAGAUCUGCGUGAGGUGGCCCAUCCAUUGGAUAAGAGAAGUCUAGAUAUUUUUUUGGAGGAAGAAUCAAAAGUUAUGUAUGAGGAUAACUACAUAGGGGAGGCUGAUUCAGUGAAGUUAAGGAUGAACACAUUGGAGAAGAAGUGCUCAUCAAAGAAGACGAAGUUUGAAUUCAAAUUUCAAAAAGUUCCAAAGAUUAACUCAGGGAAAUCAAUAACCUGGGUGGGUAAAACUGGUUUCAUUCAUGUGGGACCACGUGCAGUUUUCCAAUAUACAAAUGGUUUAAGUCAGCUUCUUAAUAAUGGAGGGAAGCUCAAAAGGCAAGACAUUAAAUGUCUGCCCAAGAAUCAAGGUGGUGUUUGGGCUGCCUGGGGUAAAGGGGCGCCAGCCUCUGUGAUUAAUAGCAACUCAUCUGUGCAACAAGCACCCUUUGACAUUCUAACCACAGCUGUCGAGUGUCACAGAGAGAGAACAGAUUGUCAGGAGGAAGAGGAAGAAGGAAGAAUGUUGAGGAGAGGGUUUGGCACAAGAGGAAUAUCUGGAGCUAGGGGAGCACAUGACGGUCGGUUUAACCAGGACCGACUAGAAAUGGGAGCACAAAGAGAAGAUUCAGGAGGCGUCUGGCACUUUGGAGGAAAUCAGAGAAGACAGAUGGAAGCCAGAGCAGGUGGCAGGGAAGGGGCAGGAGAUGGGUAUGGAAGAAGAUUUAUAUCAAGAGAUGGGUCAGGCAAUGAGAGGAAUAGGGAAGGGCAACAACAAGGUUUUGGGAGCUAGAGAGGUCUACAGGGGCCAGGAGGAUCAAGGGUGGAUGUGAGGGUGGAGUCCCUGAGAGGCAGAGGGGGAUGGCGUAGGUGGCAGGAGCGUACACAAAGAGCAGAAGUGGUGAAGGAAGAGGAUAAAGGAAAGAAGGUGAUAACACGUGAUGGUGAACAGAAAGAAGGAUCGAGGGGGAAAGCUGGGAUGGAUUUCCAGAUGACAGUAGAUGGACUUGGAGAAGAAGAGAAAGGAGAUGACACCAAGUCAGGGAUCAAGUGCUCAAAAUGUGCAAAGAAAGGACAUGUGGCUGCCACGUGCACUAAUCCAGUUUACUGUGUUAUCUGUAACGGUGAUGACCACGUCAAUCACAAAUGUUUGCUGCUAAAGCAGUCUAGGCCAGUGGCACACGCGGUGGGAUACGCUGUCUAUGGGCUUGGUUUCUACCACAUUCCACAUCCACCGCUGUCUAGGAGUAAAAAAGAAUCCAAGAAGGCCCUAAUUAGGGUGGGAGGAGGGAAACUAACCAAGGAGAAGGUGGUUUCACAACUGCAAAGGUUGUACCCAGGAAAGUGGAAUUGGGAACUGGAAGACAAUGAAGAUAACACCUUCAUCACUACAUUUCCCUCAAAAUCUGAACUUCAAAGGGCAAUAGCUUUUGGAGGGGCUAAUGUUAGAGAAGAUGGAGUUCAGAUAGGUGUGAGGUUACAAUUUGAAACUUGGCAAGAGAAAGAAGAGGGAUUCCUUUUACCUAAAGUUUGGGUAAGAGUACAUGGGCUGAGAAAAUCUCUAAGGGAGUAUAUGAAUUUGUGGGCAAUAGGUUCAUUGUUGGGAUCUACCCAAACUGUGGAUAUGGAGAUGACUAGAAAAAAUGAAUUUGGAAGAAUAUGUGUGGCAGCCCUUAACCCCUUGCUUAUCCCCUCACAUUUAGAUGUGGUGAUAGGGGAUCACUACUUUGAACUAGAAUUUGAGGUGGAAAGGAAAGGGACUGAUGAGAAUGGAGAGGAAGCAAAUUUUGAUUGGAAGGGAGAUGCAGAAGGAGAGGAUGAGGGAGAGGGCAGUGAGGAUGGCUUAUUGCAGGAUGACCCAGAUAUGAUCAGGGAAAUAAAAAGAAGGAAAAAUGAUAGUGAGGUCAAGGAGAAGGAAGAUAGCAGUACAAAAUAUAGGCAGGAGGAGCAGGGAUGGACAGAUAAAGAAUCAUGGAAAGAUAAAGUUCAGAAGAUGAGUGAAAUGGAGUUUAAUCUGUUUCUUAAGGAAAAGGCAGAAGAAAUAAUGGAUAGAGCAGUGGACAAAACUUUGGAGGUUUUGAUAGAUCAGGUUAUGACUGACCAGAAUGAAAAUAAUGAGGGGGAGAGCAGCUGGGAGGAGGAAGAGGGAACAGAUGAACUGAAGAAGAGGGCUGCAAUUCCUGAGACAGUAAUGACGCCAACAAGGGUUAGUCCAAGGUUGGCUAACUCAGGAGAUGAGCAUAUUCUUGCUAAGACAGAGAAGAUGGCUGCUAGGAAAAAUCUGGAGCUCAAAGAAGGUAAUUAUGAAACUGAAGUCUCCUUUCAUUUUCCUUUAGAUAAUGUUAUCUGUAAUGUUAGUCAACUAGGGGUUAGGUUGGGAGAGAGUGAAAAAGAGAAGGAAAGGGUAGUACAAGAAAUUCUCACAGUACAAAAGAGAGACAUAGAUCUGCCUGUAGAGGUAGAUAAUCAAGAUGAGAGUAAUCUGUACAGUGACAUGGAGGAGGAGAGGGAAGAAAUAGAAAGUAGUCAAAUUCAGAACCUUUGUGGGGAACUUUUGGAAGAGGUUUUUGACGAUGAUUUUAGUUACAUGGAUUUUUACUCUAAGAUGGGUAAUCACAAGUCUUGUGCUAAGUCACGAAAGAGAAAGACUUGUAAGGUCAGGCUACCCAAAGUCAAUAUCGAUAUGGUUUCCAAAUGAGAGGAAUCUUCUGGAACAGCAGAGGUCUUAGUGACUUGGCUAAAAAAAGAUUCCUUUUAGAAACAUCUAAAGAACAGAACUUAGCUUUCAUUGCUCUACUAGAAACAGGAAAAAGAGACUUUACCUAAGCCACUCUAAGUAAUUUGUGUGGGGGAAAAACUUUAUCUGGCAUUGGACUGAACCACAUGGAAGAUCAGGGGGUAUCCUCCUAGGUGUGGAUCUAGAUGAGUUAGACAUUGGUAGUAUUGAUGAAGGAGACUUUUAUGUGAAGUUCAAAGUAAGGACAAGAAAAGAUAAUUUCCAGUUUGUGUUGGUGGCUGUUUAUGGAGCAGCACAACCAGCUUUUAAAGAAGCUUUCUUGACCGAAAUGGUGCAGGCCUAUAGAAAAGAGAACCUUCCUAUUGUCCUUGGGGGAGAUUUUAACAUCAUAAGAAACCCAAGUGAAAAGAACAAUGAAAGGUACGAAGACAAAUGGCCCUUUCUUUUUAACGCUAUCAUAGAUAGCUUAAAUUCAAAGGAGAUACAUAUGUCAGGAAGAAAGUACACUUGGGCUAGUUCCUUAAAAAAUCCAACAUAUGAGAAAUUGGAUAGGGUGUUGGUUAGUACAGAGUGGGAAGAGAAAUUUCCUUUAGCUACGGUUGAUGCAUUGAGCAGGGAAAUCUCAGAUCAUACACCCUUAUUGCUUAGUACUGGACAGGAAGGGGUGAGAAGGAACCAACACAUGUUUAAGUUUGAACUGAGCUGGCUUUUGAGGAAAGAUUUCCUUGAGAUAGUAGCUGAUGUGUGGAGUAAGGAAAGAAAAGGUUCCAAUCCUAUACAGAAAUGGCAAAAUAAGAUUAGGAGGUUAAGGCAAUUUCUGAGAGGAUGGGCUAAAAACCUAAACGGGAAGUAUAAAAAAGAAAAACAGGAGCUACUUAAAAGGGCAAAUGAGCUAGAUAAAAAGGCUGAAUCACAGCUGCUAAGUCAGCAAGAAAGUGAUUUAAAGAAUUGCAUUCAAGAUACACUAGUUCAGCUCCUGAGAGAAGAAGAAAUAAGAUGGUAUCAAAGGGCAAAAAGCAAUAAGCUACUGAAUGGAGAUAACAACACAAAAUAUUUUCAUAUGGUAGCCAAUGGCAAACACAGGAAAACAAGAAUCUUUAGACUGGAACAGGAUGAGGGCAUUAUAGAAGGGGAUGAUAAUCUUAAAAAUUACAUAACUAAAUAUUAUAAAGAACUAUUUGGAUCUCAAUCAAGGAACAUUUGUUCUAUGAACGAAUCCUUGACAGAGGAUAUCCCUCAAGUAUCAAGAGAAGAAAAUGAAAUCUUGACUGAAAAAUUCACAGAAAAGGAGGUCAGAGAAGCUAUCUUUCAAAUGAAGCAUAACAAAGCUCCGGAAUCCGAUGGAUUCCCAGUGGAGUUUUACCAAGUAUUCUGGAGUCUCAUUAAAGAUGAUCUAAUGGCCAUGUUUGAAGACUUCCACAAAGGUAAUCUACCACUAUAUUGUUUAAACUUUGGGAUAAUAACUCUAAUCCCAAAACUCCAGGAAGUGAAAAUGAUCCAACAGUAUAGACCAAUAUGUAUGUUAAAUGUCAGUUUCAAAAUCUUCACAAAAGUGAUGGCCAAUAGGUUUUCUCUGGUGGCUGAAAAAGUCAUCAGGCCAUCACAGACUGCUUUUAUGCCUGGGAGGUACAUAAUGGAAGGGGUAGUAGUACUUCAUGAAACUAUACAUAAGUUAAGCAGGAAAAAGCAAGAUGGAAUCAUUCUCAAAUUGGACUUUGAGAAAGCCUAUGAUAAGGUUAAUUGGUCUUUUCUUCAACAGGCAUUAAGAAUGAAAGGCUUCUCCUCAAAAUGGUGUGAGUGGAUAGAAAGUAUAGUCAGUAAGGGAAGUGUGGGGGUAAAGGUAAAUGAUGAUAUUGGACAUUUCUUCCAGACAAAAAAAGGUCUUAGACAGGGUGAUCCCUUAUCGCCAAUGCUAUUUAAUAUAGCAGCAGACAUGUUGGCUGUUCUUAUUGCUAGAGCAAAACAUAGCAACCAAAUAAAGGGCCUAGUGCCACAUCUCGUAGAUGAAGGAUUAUCUAUCCUCCAGUACGCAGAUGACACAAUAAUCUUCAUGGAAAAUGAUUUAGAGCAGGCAAGAAACUUGAAAUUGGUGCUAAGUACCUUUGAAAAACUUUCAGGCCUCAAAAUCAAUUUCCAUAAGAGUGAAUUGUAUUGUUUUGGGGAGGCAAAAAACCAAGUUAAGGUUUAUGUAGAGAUAUUUGGGUGCAAGGAAGGAACACUACCAUUUAGAUAUCUUGGAAUUCCAAUGAUGCAUCGCAGAAUUGCAAAAAAGGAUUGGAAAAUGACUGAAGAAAGGUUCCAGAAAAAAUUAGCAAGCUGGAAGGGCAAAUUAAUGUCAGUGGGAGGCAGGUUAGUACUGAUAAAUUCUGUCCUCUCAAGUUUACCAAUAUUUAUGAUGUCCUUUUUUAGAAUACCUAAAGGUGUUCUUAAAAGAUUGGAUUAUUAUAGAUCUAGAUUCUUCUGGCAAAGUGAUGAACACAAAAAGAAAUUUAGGUUGACCAAAUGGAGUAUCCUUUGUGCACCUAAGAAUGUAGGAGGUUUGGGUAUCUCCAAUGUGGAGGUUCUAAAUAGGUGCUUGCUAAGCAAGUGGUUUUUUAAACUUCUAAAUGAGGAGGGAGUAUGGCAAACUUUGCUUAGAAAGAAAUAUUUGGUGAACAAGACUCUAACUCAAGUGACAAGGAAAAGGGGAGAUUCACACUUCUGGGCGGGCCUCAUGGAAAUAAAGGAUCAGUUCCUAUCAAUGGGAACAUUUGAGGUGCACAAUGGAGAAAAAACUAGGUUCUGGGAAGACGUUUGGAUGGGAAAGACAACUUUGAGGGAAAGAUAUGCAUCCCUGUAUAAUAUAGUGAGAAGGAAAGAUGACACCGUAGCCAAAGUACGUGGAUCUGCCCCUCUAAAUGUUUCUUUCAGAAGAGCAUUAACAGGGCACAGAUUGGAAGAAUGGCUAAAAUUAGUGGCUGAUAUUAUAAGUCAUGCUACAGACAGGCAGGAAGACAGAUUUAUUUGGAAUAUGAAUAAAAACAAAGUUUUCUCAGUGAAGUCAAUGUACAGAGAAAUAAUGCAAGCUGAAAGAACACCAUCCAUGUGUGUUGCUUGGAAGUUAAAACUUCCAUUAAAAAUAAAGAUCUUUUUAUGGUAUUUAAAGAAAGGGGUGAUUUUAACAAAGGACAACCUCACUAAAAGGAGAUGGCAGGGAAGUACCAAUUGUUGCUUCUGCAGAUCAAAAGAGACAGUGCAACAUCUCUUCUUUGAUUGUAAUCUUGCCAGAUUCAUAUGGAGUACGGUUUUCUUUUCGUUUGGAAUUCAACCACCGACGAGUGUUCCUUAUGCUGGGAUCUUGGGCUAGAGGGUUUCCUCGGAAGAUUAGAAACCAGAUGAUUAUAGGAGCUGGUGCUCUUUGUUGGGCCAUGUGGUUGAACAGAAACGAUGUACUGUUCAAAGGCACGAUCACUAAUUCCUUCUUGCAGGUAAUCUUCAGAGGGACCUAUUGGACAAGAACAUGGGCGGUGCUAUCAAUGGAGGAAGAGAAAAAUGAAAUGAAGAACAACUGUAGCAGGCUCGAAGGCACUGCCUUGGAAUUCUUCUCCAAUAAGUAUGGCUGGAACUUCAGACGAAGAAUACUUCAGUAACAGGAUUUCAUCUAGGCACCGGAGAAGAUCUUAGAGUCCUAUCUAGUGCUUAGGAGUCGUGUUAGUGUUCCUGUCUUUGGAGUGAACUGUGAGUCUUCAAGGGUAGUACUGCUAGAACAGCCUAAGUGUUGAGUUUCUGUAUUUGUGGUGUUAGUUUGGCUGCAGGCAUCCACUCGUGGAUGACCGAGGCCGGAUUCUUUCCUUUAUCUAAAAAAAAAAGAACUGAGGCGUUCAUUGCGUCGGUCCGACUGGCACUACAAGCUCCCCUUGCUGCGGGGCCCCCUAAGCCCACCGCUCCUCCUCCGGCACAGACGCCAAGACGGAGUACAAGGCUGGCAACUAACGCGCUAAACUCUGCGAUCCGUCCAUCCAAGAAGGGGGAACUUCUGACCAUGAAAAAACUCGGCAUCUUAACCCAAGAGCACCAAACUACCUCAGCAGCUGACAAAGAUUUCAACAAAUUCUUGACCACGACAAUGAAGCCGUGCCAUUUUGCGGCAUUCAGGGACAUCUUCCCGGCGGCCAAUAACCUCUCGAUUGGGAAAUGAAGUUCCCUUUUGCCUUCCUUCAGACGCUCUCCUCUGAUAUUUCAGACCAUUGCCCCCUACUGCUAACCACCAACUCAAACUUUUCGGUCAAAAGACGCUUCCAUUUUUAGAUUUGGUGGCUCAAGUUGCCUGGCUACUUGGAAACUGUCGCACAGGGUUGGGUGUGCCCAUCGCACAUCUCUGAUCCUUUCACAAAACUUGACAUGAAGCUUAAAAACACUGCUAGAAAGCUUCAGAGCUGGAGGGGAAUGCAAACACAAGACUUUUCCAUUUGCAAUGUGGCCACAGGGCCAAAAAGAAAUUUAUUGCAAGGCUUGAGCAUGAGGGAGGUGUGGCAAUCUCACAUGAGGAAAAAGAGCAGGUUUUGUUCAGCCACUUGUCUGCUAUUUUGGGCACUGCUAUGCAAAGAGUUGAGAUAGUGAAUUUAUCUGUGUUGGGUUUCACGGCGAGAAACUAAAGCCACCUGGAGGUUCCUUUCAUCGAAGAGGAAAUUUGGAAUGCAAUCUGGAAUCUUCCAAAUGAAAAAGUGCCCGGCCCAGAUGGCUUCAUCGCUGAGUUCUAUAAGACAGCCUGGUCAAUCAUCAAAACUGAUGUGCUGGCGGCCUUUGAUGCAUUCUAUAGGAACAUAGUGGCACAACUGCAUAAACUCAAUGGAGCCUUGAUCACCUUAUUGCCCAAGAGGCAGGAUGCCAAAAUACGAGGAGAUUAUAGACCAAUCAGUCUCAUCCACAGUUUCGGGAAGCUCCUGGCAAAGCUGUUAUCAAACAGAUUAGCACCUGAACUCAGCGCUUUGAUAGAUGUCAACCAGAGUGCUUUCAUUAAGCAGAGAUCUAUCCAUGACAAUUUUAAAUUCGUUGAAUAGGCUGCUAGAACCUUACAUAGGAAAAAGAAGCCUACACUACUGAUCAAACUUGAUAUCUCCAAAGCCUUUGACAGUGUCUGCUGGCCUUUCCUGUUGCAGCUGUUGCAAGCCAUGGGGUUUGGUUUAAAGUGGAGAAAUUGGAUGGCAACCCUGGUUUCCUCAGGUACAACAAGAAUAUUGCUCAAUGGUUCUCCAGGGCCGGUGAUUCAUAAUGCAAGAGGCUUAAGACAAGGGGAUCCCUUGUCCCCAAUGCUCUUCAUUCUCACAAUUGAGGUGCUCCACAGGCUCCUGAGGAAAGCAGUGCAGAAUGGUGUCCUCAAACCUCCGACUGAUUCUGCAAUACAUCAUCAGUGCUCCAUUUAUGCGGAUGAUGUAGUGUUGUUUGCUGCCCCUGAGGUUCAGGACAUCACAACCAUAAGAGAAACUCUUAAUUUCUUCGGCAGCACAUCAGGUUUACACACCAACCUGCACAAGAGCUUAAUAGCUCCCAUAGCUUGCAAUGCUGAGCAAGUUCAGAACAUCCAGGGCAUCUUGCCAGCUCAGAUCGCUGUGUUCCCCAUCCAAUACUUAGGAUUGCCCCUAUCAGUUACCAGGCUCAAGAAGUCGCACUUUCAGUCCUUAAUUGACAAAGUUGCAGCAAGUAUUCCGACAUGGAAGGCUCCGUUGAUGAACAAAGCAGGCAGGCUCACCACUGUAAAAGCAGUUAUGAGUGGAACUGUUGGAAUAAAGUGGCUAAAAAACAUUCCAGAUUUUAUUUGGAGGAAAAACACAUAGAUGAAAAUUAACGCAAGCAUACAACACAUGUAAACAGUCAGCAUAUUGACUAGAACAAGGUGUUGCAGGGACAUUACUCAAUAAUUCCGCAUAGAACGUAGUCGAACGUGUUGUAGGUGUUGCAGAGUCACCAAGCGGUCGCGUGUAGAUGCUGCCCAAAAACCUAAUUGUCGCCCCGUGCAGGAGUCUCGCGGCAGUGGUUUCGGAGAUCCCGUGCAGGACGUCUCCUGGUGUUAUAGACUCAAUACAACAUAAGUUUCCCCCAUCAAACAGCCUCAUAAAUUAGUAGUCACAAGUCACAAGUCACGCGAUUUUUCACGCAAAAAUGUGCGUGCGUGUAGCAACAGGCUCCUCUCUCUCUCACUUGCACCUUUUUUGCAUAAAGAGAAGACCCCCAUAUUUAAGCAAAGUAACCUCUCCUUGAAUUAACAAUAUGGGACUAAAGGUUGUGCAUGCUUUGGAAUUUUCAGAUUAGGCCAUGUAUGGGCCAAAAUCCAACAGGAACAUCAAAGGAGAGUAUUCAGCGAAAUCGGCAUAUCGUUUCUUCUUCAGAACUGCCGUCAGAUGCAGUCAGAUUCGCUGCAGCUAAGCUGAUUUGGAAAGUAUGGGUUCCUCUCAAAAUUAAGUUCUUCAUGUGGUUGGCUAUCAAGAACAGGUUGUGGACGGCAGCGAGGAGGCAAAAACGUGGACUGCAAGACCAGGCUGAUUGUGUGCUUUGUGAUCAAGAGUUAGAGACGGCAAAUCACCUGCUAUCCAGAUGCUCCUACACUCUCCAGGUGUGGCAACAUAUCAGCGCUUCAAUGAACUUGCUGAAUAUUGCUCCAACACAAAAUCAGUCCCUCCUUGACUGGUGGCUGCAAAAAAGGGAAGGAUUCAAUGCCUGCAACCGAGCGUUCGGCCGCUCGCAGGCAGAGUGUGGAGCGCCUAGUCUAGGAGAUCACAACUGAAGGGGACCUCUAGUGCGCGGCAGGCGCCAAACACCUGGCAGCACUUGGCUGGCCAGGGACAGCAGGGUUGCCUAUCUCAUAGAGGAUCUACUCUUCUCUAUCCAUUCGUUGUAAGAGUUUCAUGUAAUAGCUGUUAAUGUAAGCUUAAACCGUAUGCGUGCACCCGGCAGGCCAUGUUGUAUGUCUUUUUUCUGCUUAAUACAAAGAUUCGCAGCUCUCCUGCGUGUUCACGAAAAAAAUGAAUACAUACUUGUAUGAGCAUUGCAUUGUAAAAUGUACCAAAGUGCAGUCACUGCCUUCUUCUCACAAACAAACAAUACUCGAUAAACACAUAAAGUCAUUCGCUCAUGAUGCUGUUCAACAAAAAACAAAGCUUUGAACACAUUCAUACAAGGUAAAGUCGAACAAACCAAACCACUUAGAAAACAUGAUAAAAUCCAGAAUUGGACCGAACUAAUUGCUGACAUGACUUGAUAGUAGAUGACAUAAAUAUGGAUGAGGAUGUGUUGACACUUUUUUGAGCCAACACACGAACGCACACGAUCGUGCGGUGCACGGAGGGGCUCGCGGCAGCACCUCGACGCAGGCCGGUCUAACCGGUUAUAGGGAUUGGUCUGACCGGUUGUUGGGUAGGUCGACGGUAGACCUUCGAACGUUCACCCGGGAAGGAUCCCGUCGGGGGCAGGCGCAUACAGGGUUGCUCUAGGAUCGGCAGGCCACCUAGAGCGCCUUCAAACCUCGUCGAGACGAAGGAAGAACAGCAAGUGGUAGAUUGGAAAAGCUAGGGCAAAAGAAUAAAGGAAAAAAAAUGAUAAAUAAUAGAUUGGUUUAUGUCGACUAGGUUGGAUGUCCUCAACCGGUCGAAUCCCUUUAUAUUUAUAGGGAGGGAAGGUCUUCCCCACGUAGAAGUCGAAAUCCUAAUACAAAUCGUGCCAAAUUACAACUCCUACUCGGAUUACAUAGAGCCAGACUGGUCAGACCGGCCUGGGCAACCGGUCUGACUGGUCUGCUCGGGUGCAGAUUUUGCCAAGAUCGUAUCUCCCUCAUCCGAACUCCAAAUCGGACGUUUUAUAUAUGAAUCUUGAUCUACUCGACAAGAUCUACACAAUGGUAGAGUCCAAUCUUCAUUUGGAGUACUUUGAUCCAACCAGUCUGACUGAUGGGUCAACCGGUCUGACUUGUCUGCACAGGGUGCUGAUUUUUUCGAGGGCAUAACUCUCUCAUCCGAAGUCCAAAUCGGACGUUCCAUAUAUGCAUUUUGAUCGUCUCGAUGACAGCUACACCAUGGUGAAGUAAAAUUUGCAUUUUGAGAACAUUCACCAAACCGGUCUGACCGGUUGGAAGACCGGUCUGAACAGGCCUGACCAGAUUUUCCAAGUCCUACCACUUUUGGGCUCCAACAGGAUGUGUCUACAGUAAUUUAAUAAUACUAACAACUAGAAUCAAAGGAUACAUAUCAACUGCAAAAUCAUAAGCAAGGCACACUCUAUGUUUCCAUUUGGGCUUAUUCUAUAGCAAAUCUAUGUAAACUACUUAAGUAUUCACAGCAGGCUGAGUAGCAGGGUCCAGCUUUCUCUGCUCCUAAAUUUUCCUGAGCUUAAUACCCUUACCCUUGGGGAGACUCACCCAUGGUUUGUUCCCCUUGCCAAUUGUGAGCACAUUGCCCAAAUAGGUGGCAAAGGCAUGUGUUAGAAUGUGUGUAAUUGGGCCCAGCCCGGCUAGGCCCAUGCGCAUGGCUCCCCCUGACAGGCGCUUGUUGCGCCAGAUCAGGAGCCAGCCACCAGGGCUUUCUUGUCCCUUGCCUAUAUAUGUGUACGCUAUGCACCUCCAUAAUCAAUCUACAAUUUCCUAGCCAUAUUUGCUUUCAUGGUAUCACGAGUCCGGGUUCCUACCCCGAUUUAGCUUCCGCUUUUCUAGCACAUGCCGUCACUAUGGCUGGCUCCACGUACCCUGUCGCUGAUCCAGUCGCUACAUCGCCCACGGCAGAGGAGCAACACCUCGCCGAGGAGGCCUAGCGGCAGGCUGCCCGCACUGCCACCCUCGCCCACGCUGUCCAGGCUGGGCAGCUGGCGGCUACCGCGGCUCAGGAACGCGACGCCGCUGAUGCCCACCUCCGCGACGCCCUGGCCCUUGCUGUCGAGGAGCGCGCUGCCGCUAAGGCCGCUGAUCCACCACCCAGCAUUCACCCUGACAACGAUGACGAUGACCACAAGAAUCAUGUCGUCCCCUUUGUCCACGACGCCAUGCUGCUCCACGAGGUCGCCGCCGUCCUGAACCUGCACGCCCAGCCUGUUGCACUUUAGAACAUCUGCAGCCUCAUCCCGAUCAUCCUCGACGUCGCCUCCACCAACUACGCCCGCUGGCGCGAGCAAUUUCUGCUCACCGUCGAGAAGUUCUCCCUCGACGCCCACGUGCUUCAGGACAGUCCUCUCCCCGGUCACCCUGACUAGGCGCGGAUGGAUUGCGUCGUUCGGUCUUGGAUCUACGGCACCCUCUCCAACGACCUCACCGACACCGUGAUGACGCCUGGCGCCACUACCCGCUCCGUCUAGCUUGCCGUCGAGUCUCAGUUCCUCGGCAACCACGACACACGCGCCCUCCUCCUUGAUGCCCAGUUUUGCACCUUCGUCUAGGGUGAUCUAUCCAUCACUGACUACUGCCGCCGUCUGAAGGCCAUGGCUGAUGCCGGCGAGCUCGGUGAGCCUGUCACUUACCGAUCCCUCAUCCUCAACGUCAUCCGCGGCCUCAACUCCAAGUACGCCACCAUCGGUCUUCACCUUCGUCGUGCUCGCCCGUUCUCAAUGUUCCUGGAGGCUCGGAAUGAUCUGCUGCUCGAGGAACUCACCUUCACGUAGCCGUCCUCGGAGCCCUCCACCGCUCUUCUCGCUGCUACCCCGAGCGCCUCCACAUCAGCCCGGCCGCCCCAGGCCUCGCAGUAGCCCCAUUCUGGGGGUGGCUCCUCCAAGACUCGUCACAACAAACGUAACUCCGGUAGCUGCAACUCCAAGGGUGGCAACUCCGGCAGCGGUAGUAACAGCGUCGGUGUCAGCCAACGCCCCUCCAGCGGCACCAAGCAGGGCGCCCCCCAGGGCCCCUCCAACGUCACUCCCUAGCUCUCCUUCCAGAACCCGUGGACUGGGGCCAUCCAGAUGUGGCCCGGUACAUGCGCUCCGCAGCCCGGGGCACCCCACGCCAUGCUGGCCCAGUUCUCCAUGCCACGCUAGCCCAGCAGGCGCAGCUCCAGGCACUCCAGGUAGCCCAGUUCCAGGCUGCCCAGCUGUAGGCUGCCCAAUUGCAGGCGGCCCAGGCGCAGGCUCAGGCAUACUAGGCCGCCUAGGCAUAGGCUCUACAGCAGGUGCCGUACCAGCUCUCCAUCGCCGGCACCGCCACCAGCACACCAUCGUGGGAUUAGCAAUCCCUCGCCUCCACCUUCAACACUAUGACGCUAAACCAGCCGCAGCAGCACAAGUGGUACUUCGAUUCAGGUGCUACCUCCCACAUGACCUCCGAUGCUCAUUCCUUCUCGCAUAAUUUCACCCAGCGGUACCCUUUUCCAUCAGCUAUUGUUGUCGGUGACAGUUCUUUACUUCUUGUCACCUCCACUAGCGCAGAUGUUCAUCCGGGUCCUUAACAUCUUAAUAAUGUUCUUGUUUUACCCAACCUUAUUAAGAAUCUUAUUUCCAUUCGCCAAUUUACCAUCGAUAACAAUUGCUCAGUUGAAUUUGAUUUGUCUGGUUGUUCUGUGAAGGAUCUUCGAUCCAGGAAUGUGAUUGUCAGGUGCAAUAGUUCGGGUCCGCUAUACCCCCUGCACCUCCCUGCUGCUGCUACUCUUACUGCUGGCGUCACCUCCACGGUCUGGCACCAUCGUCUCGGCCAUCCUAGGCAGGAAGCCCUCGCCCGUCUUGCGCUAAUUUUACCUUCAUGUAAUAAAGACAUUAGCUCAUCUCUCUGCCAUGCAUGUCAGCUCGAACUACACACUCGUCUUCCCUUUCGAGUGUCCUCCUCUUGAGCUUCCAGGAAUUUUGAUCUUAUUCAUUGUGAUCUCUGGACAUCACCUAUUCCUAGCAUCUCAGGUUUUAAAUAUUAUUUAAUUGUUCUCAAUGCUUGCUCUCACUUUUCUAGAACUUUUCCUCUAAGGCUGAAAUCUGACACAUUUGAUACUCUUGCUAAUUUCUUUUCCUACGUGCUUACACAGUUCGGCGCCACCAUUAAGGUCGUCCAGUGCGAGAACGGUCAUGAGUUUGACAACUCUAGCGCUCGCACGUUCUUCCUCUCCCGUGGCGUCCACUUCUGGUGGUAUGCUCUGAUGCUGAUUGGGCGGGCUAUCCUGACACACGCAAAUCCACUUCCGGUUAUGUGGUCUUCCUCGGCGACAACCUGAUCUCUUGGUCCUCAAAGCGUCAGCCCACCGUCUCGCCAAAGCUGAGUACCGUGUUGUGGCCAAUGCCGUCGCCGAAGCUACCUGGCUAUGCCAGCUACUUCAAGAGCUCCAUGCCCCCACUUCACCGCACCUCCUUGGUCUAUUGCGACAACAUCAACGCGGUCUACAUGUCCUCCAAUCUGGUUCAGCAUCAGCACACCAAACAUAUCGAGAUCGAUCUUCACUUCAUUCAGGAGCGCGUCGCUGUGGGUGACGUUCGUGUACUACAUGUUCCCACAUCGUCCUAAUACGCCGAUGUCUUCACCAAGGGGUUGUCGUCUUCUAUUUUUACAGAAUUUAGGUCCAGUCUAAACAUUCGUGGCACCAGCGAUUAGACUGCAGGGGCGUGUUAGAAUGUGUGUAAUUGGACCCUAGCCCGGCUAGGCCCAUGCGCAUGGCUCCCCCUGAUAGGCGCCUAUUGUGCCAGAUCAAGAGCUAGCCGCCAGGGUUUUCUCGUAGAAUAGGUAAGGCUCCUAACCCUAGGACCCUUGUCUAUAUAUGUGUACGUGCUAUGCACCUCCGUAAUCAAUCUAUAAUUUCCUAGUCAUAUUUGCUUUCAGCAAGACCAAGGCAUCCUCCACAUGGAGGAUCUCAUAAUUGCCCUUGUGCUUCUCCCUAUUCUUUUAUUAUAGCAACCUGACCAGUCUAGUGACCGUGACAACAUUACCCACAUCAAACUUGAUGAAAUCAACAAUCUUACCUGUCUCCGGAUCAAUUUUGAUUGUGUCAUUCACUCAUUUGCCUUUGGCCUGUUUAUUUCUGCAGGACCGUGCAGUGUGGCAGCAGGGAUGACGCCCGGGUGCGCGGAGCCCCGGUGGUGGGAUCGACGACAAGGGUGCGCGUGCGGGGCGGUCGCCCCGACCUGGUGCUGGUGGCUGCCUGUGCAUCACCGACACUUGGUGGCUCUACAUCCAGGUGGCUUUGCGUUUCGUGCGGCUGUACAAUUCUAUAAAUACAAAAGUCUCUCUACAUGUACAAUUUGAUCACUACACAAAAUAUCUCUACACUACCUGAUCACUACAAUACACCGAAGCGACAACACCUAUCGUUCUGGUAGGUGAAGUUGCAACCAAGUGUUAGGUGAAGAUAGAAUAAUUAGCUGAAAAAAAAUCAGUUUUACAACAGGCAUCAAAGGGGAAGAGCAAUAUCAUUUCAGUCAAUAGUAUAAACAAUAUGCUUUACAAUAAGUAUUUUAUAAUACAGGUAAUCUAAUAAAAUCAAGUUUGUGUUCAAAAAAUAUAUAUAGUCGACUUGUCCAUCCGUAUCUCCAUGUUAUCUUGUUAGUUGGCUCUGAACGUCCAAAAAGAAUGCCAAUUGGUGAGCUGCUGAGGUCAAUUAUAACAUGCUAGACCUAUUGGUACGUCAAUAAAAUCACUAAACUGCUUUGACUAGGUAAAAGGGGUUAAUUUGUCUGGUUUUAAGAGAUGUUAGAUGUGUGUUGUCUAGUAUUCGAGCUCAAGAUUUUUCUUACUCUUCCCUUCCUUCCUCCUUCAAACCUCUCAUCCGAGCCCAAUCUCUCGCAUGGAGCCCGACUCCUCUUAGACCUCCUUUGGAAUAUAGGAUACAUGUAGAAAUUUUGUAGGAUUUGAAUUCUAUAGGAAUUUUUCUCAUGUGUCCCUUUGGAACAAAGGAUUGGCUAACCUUUUAAUCCUUCAAAAUUCAUAUGGAAUGGUUUAAUCCAUAGGAAUUUUGGAGAAAAUCUAACAUGAGGUCUAACCUCUUGGAAACUCUUCUUUGUGUCUAUCUCUCUUCUCGUUUCUUUGUUUUUCCUACGUUGCAUCCAAACACACAAUUACAAAUUUUUCUACAUUAUCAAUUUUUAUAGGAUUGCAAAUAUCACGUAACUCCGUUCCUACGUUUUUCCUAUUCCCACGUUUGGAGAUUCCUUUUUAAAGAUGUCCUUAGCUUUCUAUUUUAGGCCUUGUUUAGUUCCCAAUUUAGGAGUGGCAAAAUUGGCAUUUUGCCAUAAAUGCGCAAUGUAGUAUUUUGUUUGUAUUUGUGAAUUAUUAUCCAAACAUUGGCUAAUUAGGCUCAAAAGAUUCGUCUCGCAAAGUACAAUAAAAAUGUGCAAUUAGUUUUUGAUUUUAUCUAUAUUUAGUACUCCAUACAUGUACCGCAAGUUUGAUGUGAUGGGGAAUCUUUUUUUACAUAGUGUUAAAGUUGGGAUUUUGGAGGGAAGUAAAGAAGGGCUUAUUUGUUAUAUGAUUGAUCGUAUGUGACAGUGACCGUGCAACACCUGCAACGUUGAGGUACGUGACAAGGCCACACAUGCAUAUGCCAGCUCAUUGGCUCGCCCUAAUCAGGCACUACCGUCCACAGAAGUCUGAACAACGGGCGUGAACCAGGCUGUACCCUCGUGGUCAUUGUAGAAUGCACAUGGAAAGCCGUGAUGAUAUUAUUUUCUAUUAAAGCCGUAAUGAUCAGGGCUUUCGAUGAUAUUACUCAAAUUUAAAGCCGUAAUGAUGCUGUCGACGAUACUACCGUCCACAGAAGUGGCGCCGGAAGUCCUCGCACGCUGACAACGCAACACUGUUGUUAGUACUGCCAUGGGACCUACUAGUGACAAGGCAGCACAUGCAUGUAGACCCGCUGUUGUUGACGGCUCUCCCUCAGCAAGGACGCUGGGAGCAAUAAUGAGGCCACAUCUGCUUCAUCAUGAUCCUUCGCCGAUUAUUGUUUCAGUCCUUUUGCUUCGCUGUACCUAUAGACCAGUAAUGCUGGACUGAAUCAUGAUUUGAGACCUAAUCCCUUCGUUAAUCUUCUGUAAAGCAGCACAUGUGUAAAGCCUACACGACGAUGUUUUUUCCCCCUCCUGUUUCGCUUUCGCCAUUUGACGAGAUCAACGAAAUUCAUCCGCAACAUCCAUGCAUGAUGAUGAAAUUUGGAGCCUUCUUGACAUGACUUCACCUCCAACUCCCAACUUUGGCACUAUGCAAAAAGAAGAUUCCUCAUCACAUCAAACUUGCGAUACAUGCAUGGAGUACUAAAUGUAGAUGAAAUUAAAAACUAAUUGCACAGUUUUGUUACUUUGCGAGACGAAUCUAUUGAGCCUAAUUAGUCAAUGUUUGACAAUAAUUCAUAAAUACAAACGAAACGCUACAGUAUGCUACAGUGCCAGCACAGUAAUUUAGCACCUCCCAAUUUGGCCAACUAAACAAGGAUUGUGACUCGUGCAGCUGGUACAGAGAGUGACUGAUUCCUGCAUUCUAUUAUUGCCUCUUGAAUAUUCCGUGGCUGUUCAACUGUGUUGUGACGGUGAACAUGAAAAUUGCUUUUUAUAUUUAUGUAUUUUCGUUUGCAAUUUGGGCUUUAUUGAGCUUUUCUAUUUGUUAUGUCCUCAAACUUAAAAUCUUUUUUUUUCUAACAGCGCACAUGAUAUAUCAAUGAUCUUACUGUCUUGCUUCGGAUUAGCAACCUGGUAAUCAUGAAUUAAUUAGACUUAAUAGAUUCGUCUCGCGAAUUAAUUAGCUGCAAUUGGCUUUGUAAUUAGUCUAAAUGUUUAAUACUCCUAAUUAGUAUCUAAACAUUCGAUGUGAUAGGAGCUAAAUUUUAGCUCGAGGAACCGAGCAAAUCCUGCAAUUUUGAAAAGGUGAGGCACUAGUUAAAUUUUAACACGUUAAUAAUUUUAUAAAAUAAAUUCAAGAGACCUUGUCGACGAAAUAAAAGUGGUAGGUACACCGUACACAUCAUUAUUGUCAAGUCAUCGGGCCCAUUUGUUUCGUUCACCAAGAGUCCAAUCGCUAUAAUUGGAGAGGAAGAAAUGGAAGAAUGUGACUCGACCAAUAGAUAAAUGGUAUCGCUUUUUCCCUGUGAGCGCAACCCAGGAAAUGCAAAAGGCUGCUCCAGAAUGCAGAACAUUUAUAUGGUCUUUGAACACACAUGGCUACCUGAACACUGUGCACCGGUAAACACGUUUGUUCAGUGAUCAAUCCAUCAUUAGCAUAACUAAACCAGGAUGUGACUAUUAAGUAGGAGUAUUACCUUAAGAUGUGAACAGAAACACUGCAGCUUCACAAGCACAGCCAACAGCAUCCACACCUGUCGUCAUCAGCUUAUAAAAAUAGCUUGGACUUGUCUAUCAUCUUCUGAUCCUUUGCUUAUUUUAUGGCUCCUGGUGUGAGCUGAGCACAAGUCUUCCAUGCUAGUCUUCUCCUUCUGCCAUUGCAAGUCUUGCAGAAACAUAUCCUCUUCUCCAUCUUCUCUUCCCGUACGCCGCCGGCCCCUCCGCUGCGACCGCUACUGCCCCGCCUCUGCUACUGCUGCUCUGUCAGCCUAGGCACCCAAGAAGGUCAGUGCUUGGCGGUUGUCUCCAUUUACCUCCAAAGCGCUUCCGCAGACCAUCCUCUUCUCCACUCCAAAGUGUCUUCUCAUUUCUCAGCGUGCGUUCUCGUGAGCUCUGACUGCUCCAAUGGCCGAGCUUGUGGGCAGCAUGGUGGUCGGGCCACUGCUGUCUCUGGUGAAGGAGAAGGCGUCCAGCUACCUCCUGGACCAGUACAAGGUCAUGGAGGGCAUGGAGGAGCAGCACAAGAAGCUCAAGGUCAUGCUGCCGGCCAUCCUGGAAAGGAUCACUGACGCAGAGAAGCAGGCAACCUCCAGAGAAGCAAUCAGACCCUGGCUUCAGGAGCUUAAGGUGGCGGCGUACGAGGCCAUCCAAGUCUUCGAUGAAUUCAACUAUGAGGCCCUCCGUCGUCAAGCCAAGAAAGAGGGGCGCUACAUCAAGCUCGGCAUGGAUGCAGUAAAACUCUUUCCCACUCACAACCGCAUCAUGUUCCAUUACAGGAUGGGCAACAAGCUUUGCAAGAUUGUGCGUGAUAUUGAUGCCCUUGUCAAGCAUAUGCACGACUUUGGGUUCGACAAACAGCCACAAGCGCAGGUUCAGAUAAAUUAUCUGCGUGAGAAUGACUCCACCAUGGUUGAUCCAGAGAUUGUCAGCAGAUCCAGAGAUGAAGAGAAGCAAAAGAUUGUUAGAAUGUUGGUCAAAGAACAAGCUAACAAUAAGGAUCCAAUGGUCGUUCCCAUUGUGGGGAUGGGUGGGUUGGGCAAGACCACCCUAGCUCAGCUCAUCUUUAAUGACCCUGAAGUGAAGAAGCAUUUCCACCAACUAAUGAAGUGGGUCUGCGUGUCAGAUGAUUUCGAUGUUUGUAACCUUGCCAACAAGAUCUGCAACGCUUCUGAGAGCAACCUGGAGAAUGCCUUGCAGAAGCUUCAGAGAGAACUCGCUGGAAAGAGGUACUUUUAGAAUUUAAUUUGAUGUUGAUUCACUCAUCUCAAACACGCACACUGGUUUUUUUUCCUCACACACGCUCAAAAUAUGUGCAUUACCCUUGAGAAUAACACGUAAUUGAAAGGAUAAGUAAAGCACAUGCAAACUACAUACACAAAAUUCAACUUCAAACUUAGAUCCGCAUACACUUUUAAUUGCUAGUGCUAGUGAACUUCGUACACUUGAAGAAACUAUGAAAAAUGUACACGCACACAUCAUGUCAAGUCGUACACAGAAGGCAACAUCCAACAUUUUUUUUAAUUAAGGAAAAACAUCCGAUCUUGAACAUUCACACGUGAAUAGAAAAUUUUAGGAUCAUUUGAUCAAAAAUUUUAAGUGAAUAGAUCUUCAAAAGGUUAGCAGGAAAAAAACAUUUCAUCUUUUUCUGCUCCCUCAACUCAUGCUAAGGAGCUGCAAAAGCUAACGACGCCUCUUGUUUUGAGGCCCCAGCAUUGAAAUCAAGAAGACAACAACGCCUCACCACUGGCAAGUUGCCCUCUAGAUAUGCACGGAACUUGCACAUCUCACAUACCAUUUACGCUUCCUCUGGUGGCAUUCACAUAACUUAAGAAAAAGACGUACACAAAUAGAAACGCACUAAUGACAUGAUUAUUUGUAACAGGUAUCUUCUUGUAUUGGACGACGUCUGGAAUAAGGAUGAUAACAAGUGGAACAAGCUGAAUGCUUGUCUUAAACAUGGUGAUGUUGGUAGCGCCAUACUAACGACAACCCGUGAUAAAGAAAUAGCUCAACUCAUGGGUAUAGAUAAAGAACAUGGCAUUGCACGUUUGGACAAUAAAUUCAUCAAGGAAAUUAUUGAGGCUAAAGCAUUCAUUUCGCAAGAGAGAAAACCAGCUGAUUUAGCUGGCUUGGUUGAUGACGUUGUUGAGAGAUGUGCAGGGUCUCCAUUGGCAGCGAAGGCACUAGGAUCUGUACUACGUGGCAAGACAACGGAAGAAUGGAAGGCUGUGCUUAGCAAAAGCAUCGCCCAUAACAAGGACGAUCAAAUCCUGCCUAUUCUCAAGCUCAGUUACGAUGACCUGCCAUCACACAUGAAGCAGUGCUUCGCUUUCUGUGCUGUGUUUCCCAAGGACCAUGAGAUUGACGUGGAAAUGCUGAUCCAACUAUGGAUGGCAAAUGACUUUAUUCCCGAACAAAAAGAUGCUCAUCAUGAAACAAUUGGUAAACAGAUUUUCAGUGAGCUGGUCUCAAAGUCAUUCUUUCAAGAUGUGAAGCAAGUCAAAGGGGAAAGAUAUGAUUCCGUGUAUUGGUAUUUCUCUACAAGUACAUGUAAAAUCCAUGAUCUUAUGCACGAUGUGGCACUUUCUGUCAUGGGCAAAGAAGUUGCUACCAUAACUGAGAAGCCAAAGCAGAGUGAUGAGUUUCUUCAGAACACUUGUCGUCAUAUAUUGUUAUCAUGUGAGAAGCCAGAGGCCGUUUUGAAUGAUUCUCUGAAUAUAAGGUCUCCAGCUAUGCAAACACUACUAUGUGGUCAGCGCAUAGGAAAUUCCCUGCAGCAUCUCGCAAAAUACAGCUCUCUGCGUGCAUUGGGACUUUGGCAGGAUAAGAGCACAAUCCUACUGAAACCAAAGCAGCUACAUCUCUUGAGGUAUCUUGAUAUCUCGGGUAGUGAUAUAGUGGCACUUCCGGAAGAUAUCAGCAUUUUGUACAAUCUGCAAACGCUGAAUGUUGCGCACUGUCGCAAACUUGGCCGGCUUCCAAAGGGAAUAAAGUACAUGACUGCCCUCCGUCACCUCUACACUCACGGAUGUAAGGAGUUGAAGCGCAUGCCACCAGAGGUUGGACAUCUCACUUCCCUGCAAACACUUACAAAUUUCGUAGUGGGUGCAGGCCCUGAUUGCAGUAGUAUUGCAGAGCUGCAGCAUUUAAACAACCUUGGUGGUCCACUACUGCUUAGUCAACUCGAAAAUGUGACAAAAGCAGCAGAUGCAAAACAGGCCAAUCUUGGAAAUAAAAAGGAGCUCAGGGCAUUGUCAUUAACGUGGACACGUAGUGAGGGGGAGAAACAACAUUGUCAUAAGGU